rnacentral:rRNA from 1 species
UACGUAGGGUGCAAGCGUUGUCCGGAAUUAUUGGGCGUAAAGAGCUCGUAGGCGGUCUGUCGCGUCUGCUGUGAAAACCUGGGGCUUAACCCCGGGCCUGCAGUGGGUACGGGCAGACUAGAGUGCGGUAGGGGAGACUGGAAUUCCUGGUGUAGCGGUGAAAUGCGCAGAUAUCAGGAGGAACACCGGUGGCGAAGGCGGGUCUCUGGGCCACUACUGACGCUGAGAAGCGAAAGCAUGGGGAGCGAACAGG